UCCCUGUUACCAGGGCAGUCUAGCUAGAAAAAUACAACUAACUAUAAGGGUUGCGCUCGUUGAUGGACUUAACCAAACAUCUCACGACACGAGCUGACGACGGCCAUGUAUCACCUGUCACUGCCUUCCCGAAGGCACAAUCUCCUUUCGGAGACCUUAGCAGGAUGUCAAGCCUGGGUAAGGUUCUUCGCUUACCAUCGAAUUAAACAACACGCUCCACCGCUUGUGCGGGUCCCCGUCAAUUCCUUUAUGUUUUAGUCUUGCGACCGUACUCCACAGGCGGGAUGCUUAACGCGUUAGCUUCGCUACUACCGGGGUCGAUACCGAUAACAGCUAGCAUCCAUAGUUUACGGCGUGGACUA
rnacentral:misc_RNA from 1 species